GAGAAGCUACACAGAGGGGACGGUGGGACAUGCGAGCAUCUGGGCAGCCCUGGUCAAGGUCAAGGCCACAAAUGUGCAGAGCUUCUCAGAUGGCUGAGCCCUGGGGAAGCAAGGACAGAGAGGAGCAGGGGCGCCCUCUACAGGAGCGAUGGGCUAUUGGUGAAGAAAGAUCCCGCAGGACUCUGGAUCCUAAACCGACAUGGCGAAGGCAGGCUGGGAUGGAGUGAGGCACAGGCCAUGAUGGGCUUUAAGUAGGUGGAGAGCUGUGAACGCUGCCAGAAGUUUGUUUUUUUUUUUUCUUCCACAGAAAUAUGUGGAACAUGUUAUGUGAUCCAUUCCUAGGAAAAGUCUGGCAGGCUUCUUCAUGUUAGAUCAUCCCAACAAUACCUGUGCUUCUGACACUCAUGUUGUGACGUCUUCUCCGUAUCUCUGUCUUCAGCCAAAGAAGUGAAGGGAAAGCAAGUGUGCUACAAAUACAGCUCCACGGCAGACUCGGUUUCCCAGUGUCCAAAAACCGUGGAUGUCUUCUGUCACUUUACCAACGCCGCCAACAGUUCAGUUCGCAGCUCUUCUAUGAAGCUCUCUCUGGUUCCCGGGUACAACAUCACGUGCCGGGACCCCGCCAUCGGGGUUGGGGAGCCCGGGAAGGUCAUCCAGAAGCUGUGCCAGUUCUCAGACAUCUCCCGGAGCCCUGACAGCACCGUGGGUGGGACCAUCACCUACAAAUGCGUGGGUUCCCAGUGGCAGGUGGAGCGGGAGGGCUGUAUCUCCGCCCCCAUCAAUGGCCUGCUCCAGCUGGCAG
rnacentral:lncRNA from 1 species